ACCAUUCCUCAACAGUUUUCUCACACUGGCAUUUGGGAUUGGCUGGUAAAGUAUAUUCUGAAUCUCUUUUCAUCUUUUUAUGUGCUUCUACCAUUUUAGAGUCCAACGAAUUGCAACAGAGUUCUUAUUGACAGAACUCAAAUCGAUCUUUGAAUUACGAUGAAGCAAGCUUGGACUUUAAAAGAUACAAUGUACCAAGAGGAGAUAACCUGUUGGGACACAUUGGAUUUAGAUAUGAACAAUUUUUUUCUGAGUACGGGAAGGCCAACACUGCUCGGCGGCUGUUUUGGGCAAAUACUACUCGGCAGUGGCUUCAGGUUGCUGCCAACUUGAAGGUCAGACAUCCAGAUCCCCUCAUUUCUGUGUCAAUCUACGCCGGAGUAAACUUAGAGAACAAGAAAAGCAAAUGAUUGAUAUCAAAGUCUUUGUCUUUUAUGGUAAACUUUCCUGAAAACUAGUUGUAACUUGUGUCAUAUUAUUUCAGGGGAUCAAACUGAACCAAUGUUUGAAUUCAAGUGUGUGUCUGCCACAGAAGCCGCAGUUAGUUGUUGGUCUUAGGGGCUCAACAGCCAAUAUUUUUGUGGACAAUGCAGCUUACAGGGACUUCCUUUUUCAAACUUUUCGAGUUUCAUCCGUGGACAUGGAAAGUUCAGCUGUGGUAAUGGUAAGCAUUUCGUAUACGUGUAUGAUUCAUUUUACAAAAAAAAAAAAACUCAUUUUCACCUACAAAAGUAGCAAAUAAGCUGUGGUGGUUUUGGCAGACAAGCUUGUCAAAUGGCUUCCCGGUGAUCGUCAUUCGAGGGCUAUCCGAUCUUGCAGGAGGACAAUCAGGACAUAACUCAAUUGACACCUUUGGGUCUCUUGCAGCUAUAAACGCUUGCAAAGUAGUUGUACAAUUUAUCAAGCAACUGCAUCAUGAUACUAGGUAACCUGGCUUCCCAAGAUGUAUACACCCCUAAAUCUGAAGGAAAAAGAAAAUUGCAUGAGGUGAGAUGUAAGUACUUAUAAGGAGAAAGAACCAUCUUUUGUUAUUGUAAAUGCUUAUAGCAUAAUACAAAAAUAAUGGAUACAUCAAUCCUCUGUUUAUUUUGUUUGGUAAUAAAGAACCUUUGUCAAAGUGGUAAGAAUGCGUUUGCUACUGUAAACCAUACAAAGCACGUAUGCCAUCAAUGUCAUCCCUAUGUAGAUCCCGUUUUAUAAUCCCAUGAUCGAAGUAGGGAUACAUGAUUGCGUCCGGGAGGUCAGGAUUGUGAUUAAGCCCCAGCAGAUGGCCUAUUUCGUGCACGGUGACAGAUUCCAAGUCUACCUCAUUCGGUCCUGGAUUGCUACUCCAUCUCUCAUCUGCAUCAUAAUGGAAAUUCCCACCUCUAGGCGGGUUAGCGUGCGCCAAUGUCCCUCUGGGGCCAUCGAAUGCGUUACCAGGUCCAUCUCCAUGGUUGCCCCUGUGAAAUCCAAUGGUAAUAUCAGCUGCUGAAGUAGCAGGGACUUCCUCAAAUGUAAAACUGGUCACUUGUGCCCAUCUCUGAAAUGCUUGUGCACAUAUAGACCUUACAUUCUGUGUGCCAGGGACUUGGUUCACACUUGAACUAAAGCGAUACGUCAGAUGGGUUUUGGACCAUCUUCGCGGUCCGGGGAAGAACUCAUAAUGAGCAACCCCAUGGAUAGACUUGUGCUUAUGGUUGUGUUUCUUGCUGCCCUUUCGAGUGCCAUUGACAACAUCCGGCACACCACAUCUUGGCAUCAUCAUCUGUUUCCCCGUGGUGGUGUCUAGAGUUCCAGUGACUUUUAAGUGAUAGCUUUUCUGGUAUGACUUGAUGGCAGACUCUAGAAUGUCAUCAAACUCCUCGUCGUUGGCAUGCUUUGAAUGAUCAUAAUUCAGGUAGCCAAAUUUGGUGAGGUAUUUUUUGAGCUCUUGCAGCCCGCUCACAUUUUGACCCUUGUGGCAUCCCUCCAGGUGUUGGAUGAACUUGAAGGGGUCAUGCUGGUCAUGAGUAGAUUUGGAAUGAGUGUUUUGAGAGAGCAACACAAAGAUGAGGAAAAAGGCUACACAAACUGAGAUGGUUUUUGAGGCCAUUGCAGGCAUUUGGUAGCUAGCUAGAGAGAUGAAAGAAGGCUUUGUUGUGUUGGUCCUGGCUCCCUUGCCUCUAUUUAUAGAUGAAGAUUGCAGCAUAUCAACAAGUGUGUACCUUGUUGGUAGGGGCAGGGUUUUAGUUUCCGUAUAGGACUUGGUCAUUAAUGGAGUCAAUGGAAAAAUAUAUAAAUACGAUGGCGGUCUUUUUGCCAUUGUUGUAGGCUAUGAUUGAUUUGCUUAUAAGCCAGGAAAUCUAUUUCCUGGAAAUUUAUUGAGACUGUUUUGGCCUAAUGUAGGCAUCCUUCGUGUUUGACACUCUUGCCACAAUGUAAUUGCCUUCGUCGACUGGGCAAGGACAAAGUCGAAGUCCCUUGGCCUCACGGGGAAGAACCCGAAUCUCAACAUUAGUAGACACAAUUGUCUCUGGCUGGUGGGUACUGUGGAAGUUAUAUAAUGGUUCGCUUUUGCGUAUUUGUGAGAAGUGUAAAAUUAUGCAGAGCCAAAUUCAGCCUGAAGUGACAUUGACCCCUUUUUACACCCGUUAUAUAACAUAUUCAACAUCUUCAACCGAUGUGUCAAAUGUACUACAUAGACCUUUAACGGCUAGAAAUAACAUCUCGCAUCACUUCAACCGAUGUGUCAAAGCUGAUGUGGAAUAAAGGCUGGAGGUUGAGAUGUUAUUUUUGAAAUCCCAAAAGCAAGAUGUCAUACUCAAAUAAAUAUAUAUAUAUUUUUUAUUUUUAAUUUAAAAUAAAUCAACACUAAAAUGUAAUAAAAUAAUAAUUUAAUUAGACAUAUCGGGUGGAGUGUAAAGCUGUGUAAGAUGUCAAAUUGCCACAUUAGCCAUCAAAUUUAAAUUUGAUGUUUGGUAUUUGACAUCUCCCUUGGAGAUGCUCUUACAAGGAAAAAAAAAAUACUACAUAAAAAAUUUCACAACUAAGCUAAUGUUGAACUCCGUUUAACAUGAUAAAGCCAUUUGCAACUAAGUUAGGUAAUAAAAAAUUGUCUCUGAGAGACACUAGAAGCAUAAGCGCUUUAACCAAUCAUAUAUAUAUAUAUAGCCGUGACCUAUUGACAAACUUGACUUUAUGGUGGUGGGUUUUGUUACCAAUCAGAAGGAUUAAUUCUUCAAUAACUGGUAUACCACAUCUAAAAUUACAGAACAAAUCCAAAUUUUGAAUUCUCUCCCUCUCUUGUGAAGGUAUGAUCACAAAUAUUUCAACCAAAACAGACUGAUCACAAAGCUCAAGCAAUAUUGUUGAAAUGUGCCUACUUGCACUGUGAUCAAGCAUGCAUCAAAUGCCUGAAGCAUACGCAAAUUAUAAUAAUUUUGAUAUUCACAGAGUGUAUCUAUCAAAACAUAUUCAAAGUCACCCUCAUUAGCUAGUAAAAAGAGAACAAUUUUGGGCUUGGAUCUUUUGCUCCAGCCAAAAGGCAACUACUCAUAUACAUACACACACUAGUUGUAUUAUAUCAAUUUAUUAAAUAAACUAAUGUGGUGGGUCUAACUAAUAAAAAGAUGGUUACUUAUUAAAUCUUAUAAUUACAACACAAAUGUGGGUUAAGACUUGUACAAAAAAUAAAUAAUGUGAGUUAGAUUACUUAGUCAAGGUAGUGUUAACAUCCCAUUGUCAUCCCUAUGCAGAUUCCGUUUUAUACUCCCAUAAUUGAAGUAGGGAUACAUGAUUGCGUCCGGGAGGUCAGGAUUGUGAUUAAGCCCCAGCAGAUGGCCUAUUUCGUGCACGGCGACAGAUUCCAAGUCUACCUCAUUUGGUCCUGGAUUGCUACUCCAUCUCUCAUCUGCAUCAUAAUGGAAAUUCCCACCUCUAGGCGGAUUAGCGUGCGCGAAAGUCCCUCUGGGGCCAUCGAAUGCGGAACCAUCUCCAUGGUUGCCCCUGUGAAAUCCAAUGGUAAUAUCAGCUGCUGAAGUAGCAGGGACUUCCUCAAAUGUAAAACUGGUCACUUGUGCCCAUCUCUGAAAUGCUUGUGCACAUAUAGACCUUACAUUCUGUGUGCCAGGGACUUGGUUCACACUUGAACUAAAGCGAUACGUCAGAUGGGUUUUGGACCAUCUUCGCGGUCCGGGGAAGAACUCAUAAUGAGCAACCCCAUGGAUAGACUUGUGCUUAUGGUUGUGUUUCUUGCUGCCCUUUCGAGUGCCAUUGACAACAUCCGGCACACCACAUCUUGGCAUCAUCAUCUGUUUCCCCGUGGUGGUGUCUAGAGUUCCAGUGACUUUUAAGUGAUAGCUUUUCUGGUAUGACUUGAUGGCAGACUCUAGAAUGUCAUCAAACUCCUCGUCGUUGGCAUGCUUUGAAUGAUCAUAAUUCAGGUAGCCAAAUUUGGUGAGGUAUUUUUUGAGCUCUUGCAGCCCGCUCACAUUUUGACCCUUGUGGCAUCCCUCCAAGUGUUGGAUGAACUUGAAGGGGUCAUGCUGGUCAUGAGUAGAUUUGGAAUGAGUGUUUUGAGAGAGCAACACAAAGAUGAGGAAAAAGGCUACACAAACUGAGAUGGUUUUUGAGGCCAUUGCAGGCAUUUGGUAGCUAGCUAGAGAGAUGAAAGAAGGCUUUGUUGUGUUGGUCCUGGCUCCCUUGCCUCUAUUUAUAGAUGAAGAUUGCAGCAUAUCAACAAGUGUGUACCUUGUUGGAAGGGCAGGGUUUAGUUGCCAUAUACUUGUUAUAGGACUUGGUCAUUAAUGGAGUCAAAGGAGAAAUAUAUAAAUACAAUGGCGGUCUUUUUGCUCUUGUUGUAGGCCAUGAUUGAUUUGCUUGAUAGCCGGGAAAUCUAUUUCCUGGAAAUUUAUUGAGACUGUUUUGACUCAAUGUAGGCAUCCUUCGUGUUUGACACUCUUGCCACAAGUGUAAUUGCCUUCAUCGACGGGGCAAAGUCGAAGUCGAAGUCCCUUGGCCUCACGGGGAAGAACCUGAAUCUCAACAUUAGUAGAAAAAAUUAUCUGGCUGGUGGCUACUGUGGAAGUUAUAUAAUGGUUCACUUUUGCGUAUUUAUGAGAAGUGUAAAACUACACGGAGCCAAAUUCAGGCCUGAAGUGACCUUGACCCCCCUUUGCACCCGUUAUAUAACAUAUUUUAAUACAUGCAAAAAAAAAUGAUACUAUAUUAAAAAUUUCACAACUAAGCUAAUGUUGAACUCCUUUUGACAUGAUAAAGCCAUUUGCAACUAAGUUUUAAGUUUUGAAUAUGUAAUAAAAAAUUGUCUCUGAGAGACUAGAAGCAUAAGCACUUUAUAAAACCAAUCCAAUCAUAUAUAUAUGUAGCAGUGACCUAUUGACAAACUUGAAUUUAUGGUGGUGGGUUUGGUUGCCAAUCAAAAGGAUUAAUUCUUCAAUAACUGGUAUACCACAUCUAAAAUUACAGCGCAAAUCCAAAUUUUGAAUUCUCUCCCUCUCUUGUGAAGGUAUGAUCACAAAUAUUUCAACCAAAACAGACUGAUCACAAAGCUCAAGCAAUAUUGUUGAAAUGUGCCUACUUGCACUGUGAUCAAGCAUGCAUCAAAUGCCUCAAGCAUACGCAAAUUAUAAUAAUUUUGAUAUUCACAGAGUGUAUCUAUCAAAACAUAUUCAAAGUCACCCUCAUUAGCUAGUAAAAAGAGAACAAUUUUGGGCUUGGAUCUUUUGCUCCAGCCAAAAGGCAAGUACUCAUAUACAUACACACACUAGUUGUAUUAUAUCAAUUCAUUAAACUAAUGUGGUGAGUCUAACUAAUAAAAAGAUGGUUACUUAUUAAAUCUUAUAAUUACAACACAAAUGUGGGUUAGACUUCGACAAAAAAAAGAAAAGUGAGUUACAUUAGUUGGCCAAGGUAGCGUUAACAACCCAUUGUACUUGGAUUAGUAACUCUCCCUUCAACCAAACAACUAUCAACUACGAAAUUUGAAGAACUAAAAAGUAAUUCACAAUCAUAUUAGAAAUAAGUUUAAAUGGAGUUUAAAUACACCAACAAAGUAUAUAAAAUAUCAAAAAACAUAACCAUUCAUCGCUAUUAUUACUAGCCUCUCCGCAUAUGCUUCCGCGCCUGCGAGAGGCUUUUUAAAAAAAAUUUAAAUUUAUUUUAGAAUUAAAAAAGAUAAUGCGUAGUUUUGUUCCAUAAAAUUAAGAUCCAUUAUCUGAAUUUAAUUUUAAUUUUAAUUUUUUUAAUAUAAAAAAGUGUGAAUUUACCAUAUUAUCCUUAUUUAAUUGGAUUUGUCAACAAGUGAAAGUGGAGCGACAGAAACCAUCAGGACUUAUGCAACCACUUCCGAUUUCUGAAUGGAAGUGGGAACAUAUUACCAUGGAUUUUGUUUUCAAGCUUCCACGUACUUCUAAGGGACAUGAUGGAAUUUGGGUGAUAGUUGAUCGACUUACCAAAUCCGCCUAUUUCCUACCUAUCAAGGAGACCUAUUCUUUGUCAAAGUUGGCGAAACUUUUUGUGGAUGAGAUUGUGAGGUUGCAUGGAGCACCUGUGUCCAUUAUGUCGGACAGGGAUGCUAGGUUUACUUCUCAAUUCUAGAGGUGUUUACAGGAAGCUAUGGGUACUAAGUUGCAGUUCAGUACAGCUUUUCACCCACAGACUGAUGGGCAAUCAGAAAGGACUAUCCAGACUCUGGAGGAUAUGUUGAGGUCCUGUGUGUUGCAGCUUAAGGAUGCGUGGGAUAGUCACCUUGCUUUGAUAGAAUUUGCUUAUAAUAACAGUUAUCAUUCAAGUAUUGAAACGGCUCCAUAUGAGGCGUUGUAUGGGAGGCAAUGUAGAACUCCUAUUCGUUGGAAUGAAGUGGGUGACCAGAAAUUGGAAAAAGUGGAUAAUAUCCGAGCAACAACCGAGAAGGUGAAGAUGAUCAGAGAGAAAUUGAAGACUGCCCAAGACAGACAAAAGAGUUAUGCAGAUAAUAGGUCCAAGGAUCUUGAGUUUGCAGUAGGGGAUUGGGUAUUCUUGAAGUUAUCUUCGUGGAAGGGUGUGAUGAGGUUUGGUAAACGUGGGAAGUUAAGCCCUCGUUAUAUCGGACCUUAUGAGAUUACCAAACGUAUUGGACUUGUUGCCUACAGACUUGCACUACCACCAGAACUAUCUCAGAUCCAUGACGUGUUUCAUGUAUCCAUGCUACGGAAGUACAUGCUAGAUCCUUCCCAUGUUCUAGAGCGUCAACCUGUUGAGUUGAGAGAAGAUUUGACUUAUGAGGAGCAACCUGUGUAGAUCUUGUAUAGGAAAGAACAAAUGUCGUGCUCCAGAUCCAUUCAUGUAGUGAAGGUUUUGUGGAGAAGUCGAACUGUUGAAGAAGCUACAUAGGAGCCCGAGGCGUAGAUGCAGGCUAAGUAACCUUAUGUCUUCCAUUAACAGGUACGUGAAUUUCGGGGAUAAAAUUUUUAUAAGGGGGGUAGAUUGUAACACCAUGACUCCAAAUUUAAUUCCAUAUUUAAAUUAUUUAAUUGAAAUUAUGAAUUUACCCUUGGGGUAGGGGUAUUUUGGUUAUUUUCUUAUCCGGAAGGAUUUUGGGACAAUGAGUGGUAUGAUUAUGUAGGUUGUACUAAGACGAGUCCGUAGACACGUGGUAGGCUUGAAUCUGAAUUGUAACGAAGAAACGGCGACCAAAAUUAGUCCAAUGACAAUCGUAAAUAAUUCUAACUUGGGAUUAGAAAAAUCAGAAACCUCAUUUCUCUCUCCUCACGCGCACAUAGUUCUCUCUCUCCUCUCUCUUUCCCCGAAAUUGUGACUCACUCACUCACUCUCUCUCUCUCUCUCUCUCUCUCUCUCUCUUUCUCUCUCCGAUUCUCGCAGCACCGGCCACGGCAGGACGUGAAGCCGGUCACGUUCGAACUAGCUCGACGUCCUGGUCACGCUGCACCCGAAAUCCCGGGUCGAAAACCUCGAAUUCCGACUACGGUUUCGACUGGUUCAAUAAGAAAUUUUCCCGUCGUUGCACCGCAGCCAUUGCCGCCCAAUCUUGGUGAAACAGGUGAGGUUUCUUACUCUUUUUCUGAGCCCUAGUUGUCUGUUGCAUAGGAUUGGAUCGAUUUGUCUUCUAGAAUUUCGAUUUUGAAACCUAGGUUUUGGCCAAAUUUCAAAGUGAAAUUCUGGUCAGUUGCCGUCCAAAUUGGACCUCCCCCGUAGUUGAAUGAAAUGAUCCCCGCCUCGAGUAGUAGCUAGGGUAGGAAGGGUGAAGCGUGAUGUGGAGUUUUUCCAUCGCCGAAAAUUACUCUACACACCCACGCGCUGUCGGUGCAUGGGCAAGGGUGGUGAAACCAAAUUUUGUCCUGAUGUAAUCUUCAUGUUGUCACGAGCGCGUAGGUGUGCUCGGAUUUCAAUUCGGAUAUUGUUUGGCUAUCGAACGAAUUUAUGCAUAUUGUGCAUUAUCCGGGAUCGAUAUGUUUGGACUGUUGGAUCGAGUCCAAAUUAAUAUAUGUUACUCUAUACAUUUUUUGGAUCGUGUAGGAAUUCGUGGAGCGUAAAUUGGAGCCCCGGAUGUUCCGAUUCAAUAACUUGAAGUUUAUGGUUUACGAUAGGCCUCCUUUCCUGAUCAAACUUUCAAGAAGUAUUUCCUAACACGUAGAUGGACCUUAGAAUACCUCGUUCAACGUACACGCACCGGGAACAUGGGGAAAUAAGUAUUUAAUUUGUGAAUUCCGUUUCGAAGUAAUUUUAUAUUAAUUAAGAGUUCGUAUCUCGAAAUAGGUGCUCCGACCCCUCGUAGCAGCAGGCGGGACCCUUUCAGGGUCAGGCAGCGUGAGACUAGUUGUGAGUGGACAUUUAUUUUAAAUAUGCAUUAUUUUCUAUGAUUGGGAAGUUAUGGAUGAAAUGAAUUUAUUUAUACACAUAUAGAUAUUUUGGAUUAAAGUUUGAGAAAUUAAUAAGUUGAGAUAUUAGUAAUAUUAAAUUGAGAAUGAGAUUUUGAUUGGAAAUUUGAGGUUGAAUUUUGGGAAAUUGGGAUUUGAGUAUUAUGGUUUAAUAUGGAGAGAUGUAUAAAUACACCACCCCCUAGUUACUAGGCUUUCCACACGUGGUGUUGGAAUUUUUGGAGUGUGGGAAGAACAUGUGAUUAUUAGUCUCACACGUGGUGUUGGAAUUUCCAGCGUAUGAUACACUUUCCAUACGUGGCGUUGGAAUUUUCGGCGUGUGAUGAUGUAGUCUGUGCGAGUAGGACUUUGUAUUGGAGCUAGACGUGACAUUGGAGUUUCCGGCGUGUGAGCUAUGGAGUUUCGUCCUCCGGUUGGACCGCUCAUCCCUAGACGCAGGAUAGCAACAGGAAAUCUUGCGGGCUAGCCAAACAAUCCCCCAGUUGGAUUGUUUCUUCGGUACCUAAGUAGUGUGAUAAAUAUUACGUAUAUUUAUAGAUAUAUAUAUUUAUAUAUACAUAUAUAUAUAUAUAUAUAUGUGAGUAUAAAUCAAUUAAAGUAUAUGUAGCGGUUUGGUAAGAGCAGUAUAAAUUUUGGGGAUAAAGUUUAUGGAUAGAGUGUUUUGAUUUUAAAGGGUUUCAGAGAGUGAUGUUUUUUAUCAUGAAAUAAAAGUUAGUGAAUCUGCAUGUUUUGAUCAUUAUUUUUACACGGUGGUGUUAUUAUGCCCGAAUCGUGAACAUCAGUAGAUUAGGUUUCGAGUAAUUUCUUUCUACUCAACUGGUUGUUCUUGUAAACUAAAUUCGAUAAAUGCUCUGUUAUUGCCCAUGUUAGGUUUUACUUGUGAAGCCAGAGGCCAUAUAGUUUAUACUGUUGAAUGCAUGCUGCUGGUUGGGACUAUUUUGUGUUUAAUAUGCAGGUUGAAAUUUUUGGGAUUGUUCAAUUUACAAGAGAGACUCUGCCAAAAUUUUGGUAGAAAGUCUCGGUUUUUAGUAAGUGGGCCUGACAUCAGGGUGAUGUCGGAAUUAAGACGAAAUUUGUCCCGGUUUCCGAGGAAUUCUGGAGCAGGUCCUGUCAUAUCUGUUUUUUGCUUUAUAUAUAUAGAUUAUAAUAUGCGUGAAGAGCCUUAUAAAUGAUUUUUUUUUUAAUUUUUUUUUUUUUUAAAAGGGUGCAAACUGUAGAGAGGUUAGGGGGGUAAGUCUGCUAGUACAUGGGAUCUGACUUUCUUUUGGUCAAACUUCGCAGCCCACCAAAAAUAUUGAGCUCAAUCACAAAUUCAUAUAUGCACCUCUCCGUCUCUGUGUCGCAUUGAGCAGAAUUUUAAAGAGGAAAAGAAGAAAGACACUUUCUUUUUCUCUGUAAAGGAAAAAAAAAAUGGCGCUCUCGCGGCUUCGACACCCAGUGAUCUCUCGCGCGCCCUCUCUCUUGAGAGCUCGCCUUCUCUCCUCAGCCACCAGAUCACUCACUCGGUACACUCUCUCUCGUCCUCUGUCAAUCACUUCCGAUACAUAUGUUCAUUUCAUGAAUUGUAUGGGAUGCUUUUAAAGUAAAGUAUUGAUUUUUCUGAAUGGGUUGGUGGAAUGUUGUUGAUGGUUUUGGUAUUUGAUUGAAUUUAGAUUGGAAUGAUGAGCAUUAUGAGAUUUGGGGAUUGGCGGGUAAGUGUUAAGAGUGUCUUUAAUACUGGCAUACUUAUCAGUUUGAGUAGAGGCAAUUUGUAAUUGCAAUGUAGGGACUAUGUGUUUUUCACUAAUUGAUGAGAAUGUGCGUUCUCUGUUUAUGAAAUAGAAAUGGGUUUUAGUGAUUUUGCUAAUUGGAGAGGGUGUUAAUUGUUAAACCAAAGGAUUCUGUUUCACGAAGUUGCUGAUUGAAUUUGAAUCUAGUUUUUCAGCAUUCAAGGAAACUCUUUCAAUAUGUUAGUUCGGUUUAUCUGAAAUGCAGUGUGGUGUUGCAGGGCGGUGAUUCCUGGUGGGAAAGAUGUGGGGUUGGGAUGGUGAGCCAUGCUACUUCCCUUAAUGGACCAAAAGUCAGCUUCUGUCAGUUUUGUCAUUUAGAAGGUUUUAAUGCAUACAAGUUACUAACCCGUUAUAUUAUAUCACACAAUUCAUAAAAUAUGAAGAGACAUAAAAUUGGUAAUUUUUAUCCACUAUAUUUGAGCCUUCAGGAUUUUCAUUCCUUGAAACCACUUCUCAAUCAGAAGAAUGCUGCUGCAGCAACACAGCAAAUGCUGGAUCUAUUUGACAUUCUGGGAAUUGCCAAUUUUGGCAUUGCUGGAAAUGCCAACAAUUCCUUGUCUAUUGGUGAUGUGACCUUUCCUCAACACUUUUCUCACACUGGCAUUUGGGAUUGGCUGGUAAAGUAUAUUCUGAAUCUCUUUUCAUCUUUUUAUGUGCUUGUACCAUUUUAGAGUCCAAUGAAUUGCAUCAGAGUUCUUAUUGACGGAACCCAAAUCGAUCUUUGAAUUACGAUGAAGCAAGCUUGGACUUUAAAAGAUACAAUGUACCAAGAGGAGAUAACCUGUUGGGAUGCAUUGGACUUAGUUAUGAACAAUUUUUUUCUGAGCAC
rnacentral:lncRNA from 1 species